rnacentral:RNase_P_RNA from 1 species
GAGGGAAGGUAGGCAAUCGCUGCUGGGGAUGCAAAACUCCCCAGGAGAGGAAAGUCUGGACUUCUUAGGAGCAGAUACCAGUGAAAGACUGGGGGCCGUAAGGCUACGGAAAGUGUAACAGAAAAUAUACCGUCUUAAGACGCAAGUCUUUUAAGAACAGGAUGAAAAUGCCGACUUUAUGAGUCUGGCCACUUCUGCAGAGAUGUAGAGUGCUACAAACCCUAUCUGAAGCAAGAAUUAUAAGGGCAUACACUCCCGCUCCAGGAGGCCCUAAGGUAAAUCGCUUGAGAGCUGUGGCGACGCAGUUCCUAGAGGAAUGAUUGCUCUAAGCUGAAAAGCUGAAGACAAAAUCCGGCUUAUCAUCUUCCCUCAGUU